rnacentral:rRNA from 1 species
UACGGAGGGUGCAAGCGUUAUCCGGAUUUACUGGGCUUAAAGGGUGCGUAGGCGGAUUUGUAAGCCAGUGGUGAAAUCUCCGAGCUUAACUCGGAAACUGCCAUUGAUACUAUAAGUCUUGAAUUAUCUGGAGGUAAGCGGAAUAUGUCAUGUAGCGGUGAAAUGCUUAGAUAUGACAUAGAACACCAAUUGCGAAGGCAGCUUACUACGGAUCGAUUGACACUCAGGCACGAAUGCGUGGGGAUCAAACAGG